rnacentral:rRNA from 1 species
CCCGCCCGGGGCGCGCCCCGGGCGGGGCGGGGGCACGGGGGGAACGCGAAGAACCUUACCUACUCUUGACAUCCAGAGAACUUAGCAGAGAUGCUUUGGUGCCUUCGGGAACUCUGAGACAGGUGCUGCAUGGCUGUCGUCAGCUCGUGUUGUGAAAUGUUGGGUUAAGUCCCGCAACGAGCGCAACCCUUAUCCUUUGUUGCCAGCGGUUCGGCCGGGAACUCAAAGGAGACUGCCAGUGAUAAACUGGAGGAAGGUGGGGAUGACGUCAAGUCAUCAUGGCCCUUACGAGUAGGGCUACACACGUGCUACAAUGGCAUAUACAAAGAGAAGCGACCUCGCGAGAGCAAGCGGACCUCAUAAAGUAUGUCGUAGUCCGGAUUGGAGUCUGCAACUCGACUCCAUGAAGUCGGAAUCGCUAGUAAUCGUAGAUUCAGAAU